rnacentral:rRNA from 1 species
GGAGGGUGCAAGCGUUAAUCGGAAUUACUGGGCGUAAAGCGAGCGUAGGUGGUUUGUUAAGUGAGGCGUGAAAGCCCUGGGCUCAACCUGGGAACUGCGUUUCAAACUGGCAGACUAGAGUACAGUAGAGGAGAGUAGAAUUUCAGGUGUAGCGGUGAAAUGCGUAGAGAUCUGAAGGAAUACCAGUGGCGAAGGCGGCUCUCUGGACUGAUACUGACACUGAGGUUCGAAAGCGUGGGGUAGCAAACAGGAUUAGAUACCCUGGUAGUCCACGCCGUAAACGAUGUCUACUAGCCCGUUGGGAGACUUGAUCUCUUAGUGGCGCAGCUAACGCAAUAAGUAGACCGCCUGGGGAGUACGGCCGCAAGGUUA